rnacentral:tRNA from 1 species
ACCUGGCUGGCUCAGUAGGAAGAGCAUACGGCUCUUGAUCUCAGGGUCAUGAGUUCGAGCCCCAUGCUGGGUA